UUUUUUUUUUUUUUUAAUUACUGGAUGAUGAAUGUGGGGUUUUUCACAGGAAACUUGAGGAUUAAUCUUAGAUUUUAGUAUUGUUUAUGCUGUUCUUGAUAUGCAAUUUGUUGCAGGGAAAUUAGUAGAAGAAAAAAAGUUUAAUAAAUUUGGUGCUGAAUUAGAAACAUAAGCUAAUUCACUCGAAAUGUUAUGGGUAUAUACCCAAAUCGAUUUAUAUCUGGAUAAAUACACAUGAGGC
rnacentral:misc_RNA from 1 species